rnacentral:rRNA from 1 species
CAAGCGGUGGAUGAUGUGGAUUAAUUCGAUGCAACGCGAAAAACCUUACCUACCCUUGACAUGUACGGAAGACCGAAGAGAUUUGGUUGUGCUCGAAAGAGAACCGUAACACAGGUGCUGCAUGGCUGUCGUCAGCUCGUGUCGUGAGAUGUUGGGUUAAGUCCCGCAACGAGCGCAACCCUUGUCAUUAGUUGCUACAUUUAGUUGAGCACUCUAAUGAGACUGCCGGUGACAAACCGGAGGAAGGUGGGGAUGACGUCAAGUCCUCAUGGCCCUUAUGGGUAGGGCUUCACACGUCAUACAAUGGUACAUACAGAGGGCAGCCAACCCGCGAGGGGGAGCUAAUCCCAGAAAGUGUAUCGUAGUCCGGAUCGCAGUCUGCAACUCGACUGCGUGAAGUUGGAAUCGCUAGUAAUCGCGGAUCAGCAUGUCGCGGUGAAUACGUUCCCGGGUCUUGUACACACC